rnacentral:tRNA from 1 species
UAGAUGAAAGCCAAAAUAUUGAGGCGCCUAGCUGUUAAUUAGGAGACUGUAAGCCAUUUACUCAUUUAG